UAGUAAUCGAUUAGGGACCGCUGUAAC
rnacentral:sRNA from 1 species